GACGAACGCUGGCGGUGUGCUUAACACAUGCAAGUCGAACGGAAAGGCCUCUUUCGGGGGGUACUCGAGUGGCGAACGGGUGAGUAACACGUGAGUAACCUGCCCUUGACUUUGGGAUAACUUCAGGAAACUGGGGCUAAUACCGGAUAGGAGCUCCUGCUGCAUGGUGGGGGUUGGAAAGUUUCGGCGGUUGGGGAUGGACUCGCGGCUUAUCAGCUUGUUGGUGGGGUAGUGGCUUACCAAGGCUUUGACGGGUAGCCGGCCUGGGAGGGUGACCGGCCACAUUGGGACUGAGAUACGGCCCAGACUCCUACGGGAGGCAGCAGUGGGGAAUAUUGCACAAUGGGUGGAAGCCUGAUGCAGCAACGCCGUGUGCGGGAUGACGGCCUUCGGGUUGUAAACCGCUUUCGCUCAUGACGAAGCUUUGUGUGACGGUAGUGGGUAAAGAAGCACCGGCUAACUACGUG
rnacentral:rRNA from 1 species